rnacentral:rRNA from 1 species
CAGUCGCCGCGGGAAUACAGAGGGUGCGAGCGUUAAUCGGAUUUACUGGGCGUAAAGCGUGCGUAGGCGGCUUCUUAAGUCGGAUGUGAAAUCCCUGAGCUUAACUUAGGAAUUGCAUUCGAUACUGGGAAGCUAGAGUAUGGGAGAGGAUGGUAGAAUUCCAGGUGUAGCGGUGAAAUGCGUAGAGAUCUGGAGGAAUACCGAUGGCGAAGGCAGCCAUCUGGCCUAAUACUGACGCUAAGGUACGAAAGCAUGGGGAGCAAACAGGAUUAGAUACCCCCGUAGUCCCUGUCUCUUAUAC